rnacentral:tRNA from 1 species
AAGUGAGAAGCAAAUAUUGCAAUCAGUUUCGACCUGAUCCUUGAUACUAAUCAUAUCCUUACUUU